rnacentral:rRNA from 1 species
UAACCUGCCUGGUAGCGGGGGAUAACUAUUGGAAACGAUAGCUAAUACCGCAUAACAGUAGAUGUUGCAUGACAUUUGCUUAAAAGGUGCAAUUGCAUCACUACCAGAUGGACCUGCGUUGUAUUAGCUAGUUGGUGGGGUAACGGCUCACCAAGGCGACGAUACAUAGCCGACCUGAGAGGGUGAUCGGCCACACUGGGACUGAGACACGGCCCAG